UCUCGCUCCCUCCCCUCUCUCCUCCCCCUCCCUCUCUUCGCAUCUCUGUUUUGCCUGGACUGAGGGACGCAUGCGGCUGGAUCAGUGUCCCCGCGUCUCCCGGAGCGGAGCCAACCAUCCCACCCCAGACGGCCGGAGUGUUUCCCUCCGCCCUCUUUGAAGAUUCAUCAGACGGCUUUCCCCGCGCUUUACCGCCGAGCGUCAGAGAGCAGCGUGCCAGGUAUCAUGACGCACCACAAAAUUGGGCACUUGCUUGGACUUCUCUCCCUUGAGUCUUGAGACAUGCGGAGAUGGAUCCUUGCUCUGUCACUGCAGCGUCGCAUCUCUCCAAGUGAGAAGACUCGCUCUGCAAAUGCGCUUGAACAAACUUGGACCGCUGCCUCUGUCCGUUGCGAGCAAAUCCAAUCCAGGCUCAUCUCCAGCUCUGCAAACCUCUGUCUCUGCUGACUAACGAUGUGGAGGACAGUGGUGUGACACUGCAAGGAGACUUCACAGCCCAGAACUAUUACCUAACUAUUCCACAUAAACUUUUUAAAGCGCUAUCUUUGAGGUGGAAAAAAACUGGAGACCGCACACCUCUUCGAGCGUUUUAUCUUUUCACCUGGAAUAAACUGACUGUCCAAAAUCCAAAAUAGAUCCGACUCCAAGGGAUGCGUAAACGAGCAUGAUGCUCUGCUUUCUGCCGCUGUUAACACACAUAGGGAACGAGGUCGGAUUAUAAACUAUGUGGAGUCAUUUCUGAGGAUUAUUGAUUCGCUGCUCACCCCGGGUGUAUGGAGAAGAGCAGCCCGAGGAUGACGGGCGGAACCCGGGAGGCACCUGUGAACUCCUCUCCAGCGGUGGCGUCCAACGCGGAGGGCGAGGAGAUCGAGGUUUUGGAAAGCACUGACGUCCUCCCCGUGGCUCAAGAGGACCAAUGGAAGUCUCUGUUUGACAAGGUAUG